rnacentral:sRNA from 1 species
ACGUACGUCCGUACGCUCCGGUUCCUGCGCGCUGGCCGAGCACAGCUGAGGCCCGCUCGCGACGUGGGCUGAGCG